AAAUCAAUUAAAAACGGAGACGUAACAGGAAUAACAAUCGUAUGGGUAUCAGUAGUCACUCUGGGAACUUUGGAUGUAGACAAGCCACCUGUGGACAAGUCAUCAAAAUUUGUCUGAAGAAGAUGGUGAAACUUCUGGUGUCGCAGCUUAAGAUCAUGAAACUGUUUCUUGAGCUUGGAAUGCACUUCUGGAGGGACUGUUUCUCUAUAGAAAUUGAGUAUUAUAAAACAAUUAUUCUGUGAUAAACAGUUGUAGUGAUUUUUUUAAGUGACAUAUAUUAAACUAUACCACAAGCAAUUUUGUAUUAUGAAAUAAUGAAAAAUCACCUACUCUAAAUAAAUUACCAAAUAAUAACUACCUGGAGAAUGUUUAAUCACAGUAAGUACAUUAAAAAGUAAUAAUUUACUUCUGAUUGGAUCAUUAACUGUGGUUAACAAUGUUUAAAUAACACACUUAAUGACAGACUAACACAUUCAUUAACUCUAAUUAAUGAUGUUUAAGUAUUUAACAUAGAGAAAAUUCCAAUUAAAAAUAGCAAUUUUUGCAACCUCUAAAAAAAAAGUUUUAUAACCUCAAUGCUUAAUUAAAUUCACACAAAAUGGAACAUUUUCUUCUCAUUCACAAUACAGUUAGUUAAUUAACUGAAACAAAA